rnacentral:tRNA from 1 species
GCUGCUGUAGCUCAGUUGGUAGAGCAGCUGAUUUGUAAUCAGCAGGGCGGGGGUUCGAAUCCUCUCGGCAGCUCCA